ensembl:misc_RNA Metazoa_SRP Metazoan signal recognition particle RNA
GCUGGGCAUGGUGGCGCAUUCCUGUAAUCCCAGCUACUUGGGAGGCUGAGGCAGGAGAAUCGCUUGAACCCAGGAGGUGGAGGUUGCAGUGAGCUGAGAUUGCACCACUGCACUCCAGCCUGGGUGACAGGGUAAGACCUUGCCUUAA